GACGUUUCAUGAAUUUCAUAUACCGUGAUGUUGUAGAGAAAACUCACCGUUAGUUGCUUCUUCAGUCAUUCCCCUGAUGAUGCUUGUGCCUGGUUUAUCUUCAGAUGCUUUUGCUGUUAAGUUGAGCUGCGUUAUUUUUUCUAAAUUUCAUUCUUAACUGAUGGUCAAAAACACACCCGAACUAUUACUAUUUUGCGAGUUUCACACCUCAAUUAUUAGUUAUCUUUUCCUACCUGUACUAUCAUCUUCUAAACGGAAAAUGAUGGUUAAAAAACAGAACAGGCAAAGAUGCUAUUGUUAUCUACCAGCGUUCGGGAAGAUUGCGCUGACCUUCAAAAACACUCUGUGGUGAAUAUUUUUCUUCGGGCCAAACACACUAAGAUUAACAAAAGCAAAUUAGAAGAAAGCACUUCUUGUUAACAUUCAAAACAAAGCUGAGCAACCUUUUUAUUGAAAGUAGAAGUUUGAUUACACUGAUUAAGAGAGGUCCUUGGGCUAACACUCAAUAAUAUUACUACUUAAUACUUGAUAGAUUUACCAAAUUAUGACUAGCUUAAUAUUAAGUGCACUUAAAUAAAACCCAACAACGUAAUGCCUUCCUUCGGUCCCUCUUCCUCAUGCAAUAUGAAGAGAAGUGAAUGGGAAGGUACCUUAUUCUAAAUAUUACUUUCUCUAUUUUAUUUUAUGCGACAGUAUACACCGCCAUAUAAAAUAAAACAGGGUACGCACUUGCUGGUUCCAGCUUAAAGUAUGAUCAUCCCAAGCAGAUGCAGUAUUUUCCUUUAGGCCCCGUUGCACAUGUUGCACUUUGGUAUUUGGCCUUCAAUGUUUUCUUGCAUGCACUUACACACUCUGGGAGUGUGCAUGGAUUUAUGUCAAUCCCAAUUGCACUCUCCACCUUAAUUGGAGCCCAAAUAAUUAAGGUCAUGAUCACCAUCAUUAGCACAAGUAUUCCACUCUUCUUCAUUGACUUAACUUCCAUUAAUUUCAAACUUUUUUUCCCCUUUCUUUCUUUAUAAGUACUGCAUAUAUAGGGAUGAUUUUUCACGUGUAUUUAUAGGGAAAAUUUUGUAGUCCGAUGAUGUCCCAUGAAGUAGGUACCAAAUAUUUAAAUGCAGCCUAUAAUAUUGAAUACCUGUCUUAGGAUUAAACAAAAAAUAUUAAGAUAUGAAGUAUCACAUCCCACUAGCCAUAGGAGUAUCUUUUUUAGUGUUAAUAUAAGUUGUGUCCAAUGAGGAAUCAACGUUUUGGCGAUUCUUGCAUGCGUAGUCCUUUUCCACAUAUAACGUAGUACUAGAUUUGGUUUAAUAUGAUCCUUGCCCCUUGGACAGUAUUAAAAUUGUGUUUUAGUGUAUGGGGUUUACCAAACUGUCCAAUCAUAUACACAAGUGAAUAAAUGGAAAUUUCUGUUUGUGUGUCUCUUUUGCAAAUUUGGGAAAUUAAUUAGAGCACCAGCACUAACCUAUAAGAUUCAUGGGAUUACUAUCUUGAUUAUGUCCCCUAAAGAUACGGAAUAGCUUAAAAGAAAAACUGUAUCUUCCUAGUUUCUUAAGUAUAAAAAUCGGAUGUGAAAUGCAGGUGUUAUUUGCUGAUUUGACAGUAAUUCUUUUUAUAUCAUCACUGUAUAUAAGUUACACUUUUUUCAUAAAAGUAAAAGGAGCACGUGUUGGUUCGAUUCUUGCGUCUAGUAAGUAUUGUUCAAUUGAGUUGUAAUUUACUACUUUCAUGGAAUCGUGUUUGAGAAACAUUAUUGAGUGUGUAAAUUUCAAGUUGGGAGCAACUCGAAGUGAGGUCCGUUCAACAGUCGGGAGAUUGUUAAAAAUAGGAAUUAGAGCUAGUUAAUAGGUUGCAAGAGUUGUAAUCUGAUUUCGGUUGAGGCUUCUUGAUUUAGUGAAGUUUGAGGCAAAUCUACAAGGGUGAGUCGAGUGAUUUCCACAUAAAAUAUCAUGUCAAUUAUUUUACUUAACCUGAUCCUUUAACAAGUAAGGAGUGUGGGUUUACAUGAAGUAAGCAUCGCACUAGCCUUAUUUGCAGCAUCCUAUGUUAUUAUAAGCUCUGUCCAAUAAGGAGCCAGCAUUUGGACAUUCCUUGUGCAUGAAAAUGCUUUUAUGUACUUAGCACUCCGAUCCAAUUAUAUCUAAGUGAUUAAAAAAGGAAAAAUUGUUAAUUUGUCUGCUCUUUUACAGAUUUGGGAAUCAAUUGGAUUGGCGCACCACUCUGAUUCAUGAUUGGAGGAACAAUAAUGUGGGGUAAAGGGAAGUAGUACCUUUUUGGGUUUAGGGACGAGAA
rnacentral:lncRNA from 1 species